ACCAAGGAGUCUAACAUGUGCGCGAGCCGCGGGGCAGUACGAAACCCGUAAGGCGAAAUGAAGGUGAACGCCGGCGCGGUCCGGCGGAGGUUGGAUCCCGUCCCGUCGGGGCGGGCGCACUACCGGCCGAUCUUCUCCGCCCUGUCGGCGAGGUCGAGCGAGAGCGUGCAAGUCGGGACCCGAAAGAUGGUGAACUAUGCCUGAGGAGGUUGAAGCCAGAGGAAGACUCUGGUGGAGGACCGUAGCGAUUCUGACGUGCAAAUCGAUCGUCAAAUUUGGGUAUAGGGGCGAAAGACUAAUCGAACCGUCUAGUAGCU
rnacentral:ncRNA from 1 species